UAAAUGGAAGCCAAAAGGAGGCGUCUAGCUGUUAAUUAGAAGAUUGUGAACAGAAUCACCCAUUUAG
rnacentral:tRNA from 1 species